rnacentral:lncRNA from 1 species
GUGAUCUAAAAGCGGCUGUUUUAUAGGCCCAAGGUUCUUGCGAUGUUGCUGGUAUAAGUCCGUUUACCAUAACGAAUGUUUCCAUAGUUACUAUGUUGUAUUAUUGUUAUUCAAUUUUUGUUCUAUUUGUAAAAAGCUGAUGAUGAUUAGAAUAAAUAAUCGAAAGCGCUCCUUUUAACUACUGAUUGUAUACGUUUUUCGUAAUUUCCUGCCAUAAAAAGUGCUUGUUAGAUUUAGGAUAUUCGUUGAAGGCAGUGUUUACGUUGUUGAAUUUUUAUGAAAAUGCAGGCUGAGCCAGCCAGAGUUGUGAAGAAACAGAUCAAGAAAUUAACCCUUUUGGAAGAACGUUUUAUGUUUCUGAAACAGUGUAGACUGAAUGGUGUUUUUCCGACAUCUAUAUAUAACAUCAGAUUACCGGUACGAUCAAGAAAGUUGUUGUUAUUAACUAAGAAAAGAUGCCUCUCUAUAGCCAUAACGAAUGUGAGAUGUUUUCCGUUUUAAGUGAU